UGAAGGGGCUUUGGCCAUGAGUGCCACAAACGUUGGGCAGCUCACUUACUCUAUGUGUGGAAUCAACAUCAAGAGAUUUCGGAAGCAUUUUUGACUGCUGGGCAGCUGGUGAUGGUUGGUCCCAGAGCCCCU
ensembl:snRNA